GGGAAUUCCUUUCAGUCUGUGUAUUGUCCUUUGCCAGACAUAUUAUAAACAAUAGAUAUUCUAUAGGUAGAUCUGUUUUCAAGCUUUUUCAUGGAUAUGGAUCUUUUCCAUCCUCUGAACUUCUUUUUCUUUAAGGGUUAUAACCGCUCAGUGAAGAAGUGGCCAUGGUGAGAUCUGAAUAGAUUUAAUUUCUCAACUAAGGGAGAGAUUAUCUUUCUGUAAUUCUUUGGAAAAGUCACAGACUCUCCUUCCCCCUUCUGACUUCCGACGUUCCUUUUUGGUCAACAAAACCCCCACCUCUCUUUGUGUGAGUUUUUCAAGGCAGAUCUAUCACAUACACAGCUCAAAAUGAAUGAUGAAAAUUGAUGCAUAGAUACACUAUGGAAAAUCUUCAAUAGGCACCAGAAUUGUAUGACACUUCAAACACUGU
rnacentral:lncRNA from 1 species